UACAGAGGGGGCAAGCGUUAUUCGGAAUUAUUGGGCGUAAAGGGCGCGUAGGCGGCUUGGCAAGUGGAAGGUGAAAUCCCUCGGCUUAACCGAGGAACUGCCCUCCAAACUGCUUCGCUUGAGACCGGGGAGAGGUGAGUGGAAUUCCCAGUGUAGCGGUGAAAAUGCGUAGAUAUUGGGAGGAACACCAGUGGCGAAGGCGGCUCACUGGACCGGUACUGACGCUGAUGCGCGAAAGCGUGGGGAGCAAACGGG
rnacentral:rRNA from 1 species